UACUGUAGAGGAUGCACUACACAGGAUGCUGUAGGUACAGGUGUACCAUGCAUACCCGGGUGCAUCUACAGCAUGUACUAUGCUACGUCCUAGCUACUGCAUGUAGCAGUACCAGCUGUACGUACUGGCUGUAGCUGUACAGCUGAUAGCAUAGCGUACUCACAUGGGUAGCUACAUGCUCAUAGUGCUAGCUGUGCAUACCACUGCAUGUACCCUUAGAUGCUACUACUGGUAGAGCUGUGUAUCAUGUCACUGGUGUACUGCGUGUACUGCUACUAGCUAUCCAUACGUAGGGUCUAAGUACCCAGCAUGAGUACACAGAGCAUCCACAGCAUGAGUACAGGUAUACAGUAUACUGUACCGCUGUCCUGCAUGGCAUGCUCUAGAGUACCUACCACCUGCAUAGCUAUGGGCUGACUGUCCCAUGACGCUAUCACCAUCCAGGGCUACGUACACCAUGUGGAGCACCUACGGGUACUCAGUAGCUGGAUCAUACGUACUGAGCAUGCGUUGCAUCAGUCGUACUACAGCUCUUUUUUUUUUUUUUUUUUUUUUUUUUUUUACCAUAGCACCAACCGGUGCAUAGCAUGACAGUGUCUCUACCACCUGUCAGCUAGUACACUGUGCUAUGUGGUAUGGGUGAUACCUCCUAGUCCUAGAGCACCACACAUCCCAUGUGGUAGCUCUAAGCACGUAGGUACGGUAGAGCUAAUGGGUAGCUGCGCAUGGAGCACCUCGGUGUCGUCUCAUGCUACAGCUGUCCAUACGAGCAGCCCAGGACGAUGUCCACGUCCUUAGAGCUCUCGUUGGUGGGUUGUGCACGCCAUGUGGUAGUGCUCCUCCUCCACAUGACAGUGAUACACAGUACGCUAGGACAUGCUACGGGAGGACCACCACAUAGUAUGCUAUGAGU
rnacentral:rRNA from 1 species